rnacentral:rRNA from 1 species
GUAGGGAUGGGCGAAGCCUGACCGCAAUGCCGCGUGCAGGAAGAAGGCCUUCGGGUUGUAAACUGCUUUUGUACGGAACGAAACGGUCUGCCCUAAUACGGCGGGCUAAUGACGGUACCGUAAGAAUAAGCACCGGCUAACUACGUGCCAGCAGCCGCGGUAAUACGUAGGGUGCGAGCGUUAAUCGGAAUUACUGGGCGUAAAGCGUGCGCAGGCGGUUAUGUAAGACAGUCGUGAAAUCCCCGGGCUCAACCUGGGAAUUGCAUCUGUGACUGCAUAGCUAGAGUACGGUAGAGGGGGAUGGAAUUCCGCGUGUAGCAGUGAAAUGCGGGGGAUAUGCGGAGGAACACCGAUGGCGAAGGCAAUCCCCUGGACCUGUACUGACGCUCAUGCACGAAA